CAGAAACAUAGGCAAUGUUGCUAAUUGACAUCAACUAGGAUAAGUAUUUUAUGCCUCAAUACUGUUUCCAAUCAGCACCUAAAUGUUCUAUAAGUGUGACUAAGGAGCCACCACUUGUGAAAUACAGAAGCCAGAUGUCAUGCCAGAUGAAUGCAACAACCUGUUCCAACAAAAGCUGCCACCAGAUGCUUUAGAGAGCCAUUUCUCUACUGAGGGCCAUAAUAUCAGAGAGGUUACAAAAAUUAAGUGGAGGUGGUUCAUCAGUGUUAUUCCAAAUUCUGGCCUUUCUCUGGGCAGAAUAAAGACUGGCAAGCUCCCACAAUACUAUAAUUUAAUGUCAUUAAUUGGUCAUUAGUGUUGUUUCCUCUGAUUUUUACAGCACAAGUGGUGGAAUUACUUUUUAAACUUCAAGUAAGUUGUCUAUAGUACAAACUUGUGGGCCAUACUGAAGAAAUUUUACUGCUCAGAAGUGCAAAAUCAUCUGUGAUUGUUGCAGCAUGUCCCACAGUUCUCUGCUAGUGACUGAUGGGUUUUAUUCACUUGCUUUGCAGUAACACCUUGAAGGCCUCUGGGAGUGACUGUGCCAUUUCAUACAUGCUGCAGAUCUCUGGAGGUGAAAUCAAACUACCUCACAUCAAUGUAUGGCCCUUAAUGCCUGAAGUUUAAAAGCAGCAAAUCAAGUGAAGACAGAAACAAAGAAAAGGCAGCAGUUAAUUUGACUGAGUCCUUCACCAACAACAGAAUAUUAGAACAACUUCCUGCUCUGCCACCAAGAUGCAAGAAGUCCUUCUGGUGUCUGUACUGCAAUGAAGAUGGUGAUCAUGGCAGGGACCGUGAUGCUGGCUUAUUACUUCGAGUACACGGACACCUUCACCGUCAACGUGCAAGGCUUCUUCUGCUACGAGGGCGCGUACCGAAAGCCGUACCCGGGCCCGGAGGACCGCAGCGCCGUGCCGCCGGUGCUCCUCUACUCGCUGACGGCAGGCGUGCCCGUGCUGGUGAUUAUCGUUGGAGAAACUGCAGUCUUUUGUCUACAGUUAGCUACAAAGGAUUUUGAAAACCAAGAGAAAACAAUAUUAACUGGAGACUGUUGUUAUAUAAAUCCACUGGUGCGCAGGACCAUCCGAUUCCUUGGAAUUUAUGCAUUUGGACUGUUUGCUACGGACAUCUUUGUAAAUGCUGGACAAGUAGUAACAGGGAAUCUUGCACCCCAUUUUCUUGCACUUUGUAAACCCAACUAUACAGCACUUGGAUGUAAACAGUAUACCCAGUUCAUCAGUAGCGUACAUGCCUGUACUGGAAAUCCAGACCUUAUCAUGAAAGCCAGAAAGACUUUCCCAUCCAAAGAAGCAGCGCUAAGCAUAUAUGCAGCUAUGUAUCUGGCUAUGUAUAUCACCAACACAGUGAAAGCCAGAGGAACAAGGCUUGCAAAACCUGUUCUGUGUUUGGGUUUAAUGUGCUUGGCGUUCCUUACUGGAAUCAACAGAGUAGCAGAGUAUCGAAAUCACUGGUCAGAUGUAAUAGCAGGAUUUGUAAUUGGAGUAUCUAUAGCAGUAUUUUUGGUUGUUUGUGUGGUAAAUAACUUCAGAGGACGUCAGCCAGAACACGAGCAAUCUCAUCUGGAUAAUCUGACCCAGAUGCCCAUGAUCAGCAUACCCAGAGUAGAAAGCCCUUUAGAAAAGGUUCAGAUGAGUUGUUGCCUCUCUCUUCCUCCCAGUGAGGCAGUGGCACCAGCACUGGGGGCUGCAUCCAAACAUUGGUGCAGCUUGAAAAUGCAGCACAGUGGCUUUUGUGAAGGUUCAUCCUGUUGGCCAGCACUUCUUUCAAUCACUGUAUUCAAUAAGGAGCCUCUGUGGGAUUGCACAGAGGAAAGGAAGUACAGAACUGUAUGAACCACUGACACCAGCUACAGGAAUACCAAAUGAUUGGUCAGCCAUGGACGAUUUUUAACUGCUCCUCUUACUGAGGAUGCUACAGCUCUGACGGUCUGUCCCAUCCUGCUCAGCAAACCAGGACCCUGCUUCUUGUGGGAGGAGAGUUCCUAAAGACAGAACAAGCUCUCUUACUUCCAGACCAGUGUCAGAACCAUCCCUGUCCUGUGCAUGUGUUUGCUAAGCCUUUCUGAGCAAACACUAGCAUGCCGUAUAUGACAGUGUCGCAAGAAUGGUUGAAGAUGGCAGAGAACCUUCACCCCUUCGCUCCUCAGGAAGUUUUCUAAAAGCAUUGUUAGACUACACUGACUAUGAGUGACAAGAGUUGCCCUCUCCAGUGCCUUGUUAACUAUGGAGAAAGAAUAGGGAUGUAGUUAAAGAGAGAACUGCCCAAGUGCCAGGACUGGAAUAGUGCGAGUCCACACUAACCGGAGUCACGGCAUCAUCCCAAGGCUGAUCUCACAGGAAUGAAGGGAACCCCACUUUAGUGCUGCUGAACUGUGCCAGAGUUGCUUUUUGUCCUUUGAAUUCAACCAGAUCAAAACUUUCUCUGGAAAGAAACACCUUAACUUGUUCUUUUUCUUUGGAUUUAUCAAUGUACUCCCACAAAUAUGGAAGAGAUAUUUAUACUAGGAAAUAUGCCCAGAAAGUGCUUAUGUACCAGUUCUCCUCCCAUCACUUACAUGCAGUUCUUUGAACAGGAAGACAAAAGCAAGACAAAAACAGAAGACUGAAGACAACACUUUAAAUAUUACACAGUGGCUUCCUUGUACGCCUGUCAGACAUUUUCCUUUUUCUCAGUGUGUUUCUACACAACUUCUAUACAGCCAGCACUAUCCUGAGUCGUGCAGAAUAAACAGAGCUGUUCCCAGAGCCUGCUAGCACUGGCAGCCCAUGGUCUAGAUGAAGAACGAGGACUGCUAGCUCGGAGCAGCCCAUGCAAUUCAAAGUGCUGAGGCAAUGGGAAAUUUCUAUGGAAAGAAAAAUGCAUGUGAGCAUGUAAAGGACUUGAAUGGCCUAUAAUGUGAGGAGUAAUGACUCUGCAAAGCCUAAAUUGGAUCAAGGAGAAUUGCUCUUGAUAUGGAAGCAGCAUAAGCAUCAAUGCACUGUGUUGAUAAGCAGAUACCUUCAUGCAGAAUUGCCAGAACUUCACUCAUAAAAGGAAAUGGAUUCAAAAUACAUAUAUGGCACCUGACGAACCUAAAUGAUGAUAAGGGUACAGCGAGUCCAGAUUAGACGGCACAUUUCAGAUCUCUAUUAUUCUGAAGAAAUCCACAUUUGUCCUGCUGACAGCAGUAGGGAGAAGUUAUUCCUCCCUGUAGUGGCAUCAGAGGACACCCUCAGCAGGAUUACCUUAUAUGAAUGAGUUUGAUAGGAGUCACCAUGGUGAGGAAAGGAUAAUGGAAUUUCAGCUCUUUUUAUCAAGUCACUACCUUGUGCUGCAAGGAACCUAAAAGGUGUUUAGAUGCUCCAGUUACAAUGCCAUCCAAAGUGUCUCUAAUUAUUCCUGAGAGGAAGCUCUUGAAUUUGGUAGUGUUUUUUGAGAAGCUGAAAGCUCUGUUUUUGUUCCUUCCUCCCUGAUGGGAAGGGGGCCAUGCUCAUGCUGCCUCCUGCAAACACCCACAGCACAGCCAAGCACUGCAAGGCAGGGCAUGGGGACACCUCCAGUGCUGAGGCUGGGAGAGGAAACAGGUGAGCUGUGGGUGCUGGGAGCACCCCGCAUGGAGAGGAUGGCUAAGCCAGGACACGCCGAGGAACAGCCCGGAUAGAGUGGAUGGCUAAACAGGACAUGCUCUGGAGGCUGGAGGCACCCAAAUCCUGUGUCCCAUGGAAAGGCAGGGACCCUCAGCUGUGCAGUGCCUCCCCUCAGACAGGAGCCCCGUGUUUCAGGCUGUACCCCCAUGGCAGUUCUUUGUCAGUGUUAUUUUCUCCAUUUUUGUUAUAUUUUUCUUCUUAAUUGAGGAAGAAGGUAGAAGAUUGAGACUCCCGUUGUGUUUCUACACUGUAAUUCUUACUAUCAGAGGAAGGUGCAAAGGUAUGCUAAGUUCAGGUGACGGCUCACAGCAGACCUCUGACAAGGGCCAUUUGACUAGUUAGGUGUCCAUAUAAAUACCUCUUUGGGACUAUAUUACUACCUUAUCAUAUAUUAUUUAGAAUUUCAUCCUGAUUAUCUAUGGUUAUUUAUUACACACUUAUGUACUUGUUAGUUCAAUAAAAAAAACAAAUUUCUGUGAAUUUAGCUGAAUAAAGCUCUGUUUGUUCCUGUUAGUUAUAUGAAGUUCUUUCUAUGCAUUAUCUCAAUUUCUGGGCAUUUUUCCCUUCAUUUGCUCCAAAAAUUACUUCAGUACUAAUGAAUACUGAAAGACAGCCAAGACAGGAUGAACUUUUGGACAAUUUAUGCAAGCAUGACAGAUGAUAAUAGAUUUACUGUAAACAUGUCAGGCACAAAAGACUUGACUGUUUUUUUUAAAUACAGUGAUACUGGAAAAGAUUUAUGGAUAUUUUCAACUGUUCAUUAAAGAGAAAAUAUUU